rnacentral:rRNA from 1 species
CAGUAGCCGCGGGAAAACGGAGGGUGCAAGCGUUAAUCGGAAUUACUGGGCGUAAAGCGCACGCAGGCGGUCUGACAAGUCAGAUGUGAAAUCCCCGGGCUUAACCUGGGAACUGCAUUUGAAACUGUCAGGCUGGAGUCUUGUAGAGGGGGGUGGAAUUCCAGGUGUAGCGGUGAAAUGCGUAGAGAUCUGGAGGAAUACCGGUGGCGAAGGCGGCCCCCUGGACAAAGACUGACGCUCAGGUGCGAAAGCGUGGGGAGCAAACAGGAUUAGAUACCCGAGUAGUCCCUGUCUCUUAUAA